UUGUCGUAGAACUUUUGUCUGCUUGGGGUCGCGCCGUCCUGACUUUUGUGGAGUGAGAUGAGAAGCAACUUCUGUCCAAUCAAGUCUCUGCUGAGUCACUUAAUACGCAGUGCUUACUUGCUGGUGAUGCCGCCCCCUGGUGGAAGUCCCGGUAUCUCCUCCUCAGCCAGGAACUUGAUCACAUACAAAAGGAUGUGGUCCAGCAGGUUCCUGGAGCAGUACUGGGCCACGGUGCUCCCUGCAUGGCCGUCAAACACGGCGAAGUAAGCCCAUUCGCUCAGCUCCCCUCUCAUAUGAGGCAUACAAGUGUGCGCAUCCUCCAUUUGAGCCCUCCAGCCUUGCAUGCUCGCCACCGCGUAGUUCACCCCGGACUGUGACCCGCCCUCGGACACGUGCUUCUCCAAAACGGGCCUCUCCAGCUGGCGGAGGAAGGAAGGCACCUCCACGUUGCUCGCCCUGCGUGCCGUCCUCAUCACGCCUCUGAGACGCCGCUCGAGCUUCUUGCUCGACCUGGCCGCCGCGCGAUGCCGCCUCCCCUUGGUGACCCUCCGCCGGCCUUGAGUCUUCCUCAGCAGGUCCAGGGCAACUGAUGUACAGGUGAUCCCAAAUGUAAGUAAAAAAAAA